CCCGAGACUAGAGUCACGUCCUGGCGCUGCCGGUCGCUUGGUUGUGCUAGAGUCCUCGGAGAGAAAGUGCGGGGCUUUAUAUACCGGCUGAUUCUCCAUGUAGCUCAGCCGGUCACCGGCUCCGUGACACCG